UUGUCAAUCUGUCCUCCACUGAAUAGUGAAAAGUAUAAUACUGUUAUAUAGAUCAAAGUCAAAUUGUCAAUCUGUCCUUCCACUGAAGAGUGAAAAGUAUUAUACUGUUAUAUAGAUCAAGGUCAAAUUGUCAAUCUGUCCUUCCACUGAAGAGUGAAAAGUAUAAUACUGUUAUAUAGAUCAAGGUCAAAUUGUCAAUCUGUCCUCCACUGAAGAGUGAAAAGUAUAUCAAUCUGUCCUUCCACUGAAGAGUGAAAAGUAUAAUACUGUUAUAUAGAUCAAGGUCAAAUUGUCAAUCUGUCCUCCACUGAAGAGUGAAAAGUAUAAUACUGUUAUAUAGAUCAAGGUCAAAUUGUUAAUCUGUCCUUCCACUGAAGAGGGAAAAGUACAAUACUGUUAUAUAGAUCAAGGUCAAAUUGUCAAUCUGUCCUUCCACUGAAGAGGGAAAAGUAUAAUACUGUUAUAUAGA